AGCGAACGCUGGCGGCAGGCUUAACACAUGCAAGUCGAGCGCCCCGCAAGGGGAGCGGCAGACGGGUGAGUAACGCGUGGGAACGUACCCUUUGCUACGGAAUAGCUCCGGGAAACUGGAAUUAAUACCGUAUGUGCCCUACGGGGGAAAGAUUUAUCGGCAAAGGAUCGGCCCGCGUUGGAUUAGCUAGUUGGUGGGGUAAUGGCCUACCAAGGCGACGAUCCAUAGCUGGUCUGAGAGGAUGAUCAGCCACAUUGGGACUGAGACACGGCCCAAACUCCUACGGGAGGCAGCAGUGGGGAAUAUUGGACAAUGGGCGCAAGCCUGAUCCAGCCAUGCCGCGUGAGUGAUGAAGGCCUCAGGGUUGUAAAGCUCUUUCACCGGAGAAGAUAAUGACGGUAUCCGGAGAAGAAGCCCCGGCUAACUUCGUGCCAGCCGCCGCCGUAACAC
rnacentral:rRNA from 1 species